GACGAACGCUGGCGGCGUGCUUAACACAUGCAAGUCGAACGGAAAGGCCCUGCUUUUGUGGGGUGCUCGAGUGGCGAACGGGUGAGUAACACGUGAGUAACCUGCCCUUGACUUUGGGAUAACUUCAGGAAACUGGGGCUAAUACCGGAUAGGAGCUCCUGCUGCAUGGUGGGGGUUGGAAAGUUUCGGCGGUUGGGGAUGGACUAGCGGCUUAUCCGCUUGUUGGUGUGGUAGUGGCUUACCAAGCCUUUGACGGGUAGCCGGCCUGAGAGGGUGACCGGCCACAUGGGGACUAAGAUACGGCCCAGACUCCUACGGGAGGCAGCAGUGGGGAAUAUUGCACAAUGGGCGGAAGCCUGAUGCAGCAACGCCGCGUGCGGGAUGACGGCCUUCGGGUUGUAAACCGCUUUCGCCUGUGACGAAGCGUGAGUGACGGUAAUGGGUAAAGAAGCACCGGCUAACUACGUG
rnacentral:rRNA from 1 species